UUUUUGUCUUUUGAAUCAGUUUUAAAAAAUAUUCAAAUCAAUAUUGGAAGUUCCCAAGUUAUUCGUCAAAUCGCUUCUACGAGUUUCAAACUAUGUUAGCCGAACCAAGCAUGAAAAUUGGUUGUUUUAGUGCAAAAAUGAAGAGUAUAAGACUAAGAACGGCAAGGCAAAUUGAUUAACGGCUAAAUUUUACCAUUUAUUGUGUCUUGGAUAUGAUUUUUUUUUGGUCAAGCAUAGUUGCAAAAAUUGAUAACACGAAUUAGAGUUCAGACUUUAUAAUUUUACUGAAUCAUUUUAAGGAUUGAAACUGAGUAAAACUUUACGUCAUUUCAUUUUGCCCCCUUUCUCCCCCAUCUCCAAUUAAGGAUCUCGGGAUUCACAAGUUGCAUUUCGCUCCAUUUCAGAAUAAAAUGAUAAUUUUAAUUAUUUGUUUAUACUGUAUUCAAAUUAUUUACGCCAUAUUUAUAAUUUUCUUUUACACUAUAUUCUAACUCAUUUACACCCUAUUCUAACUCAUUUACACCAAGGACAAGCUUGUCUUGUGAAAACCCAUCCACCUCAAGUAAACGUCAACAUGAAAAAUCAAAGUGGGAAUGGGAAAUGUGGGGAACUCCAACCACACAAGAGCAAGAUGUCCAAUAGGAUGAUGGGGAAUACUAGAAGUUUACUAGUACACUGAAUUGAAACUAUAUAAUUUCUCAAACCAUUUUAGCAUUCUCGGCGUAGUUAGGAAUAUGUAGAACUACUGCUAGUUAUAUAUUGAUCUCAUGCCGUAUACUUAUCUGAUAGUUCUUUGGCCAUGGCCAGAACCGACUUCACGACGGGCAAGUUAUAUGUUCUCUUAAAGCUAGAAGGGCAAAUUGAUCUAUCGGGGUCGUUCUCAAUUAUCAUAGUUUCUAUGUGGAUCAAUUAGCCCUCUUGCCUUGAAAGAACAUAUAACUUCUGAUCCUGCAACUUCAAUCUUGGCAGAAAAUUGGUCUGCUGUAGUCUCCUUCAGCUACUGGAUUGGAGUCACUUGCAGCUCUCGCCACAAGGCAGGGUUACCGAGGUCAGUAUUUCGAACAUGGGUUUCGCGGGCAGCGCUCCUCCACACCUAGGAAACCUCUCGUUUCUUGUUUCUCAUAUCUUGCUUGUUUCUCUUGACAUGAGAAACAAAUUAACUGAAACGCUGUGCUGCCAGAAAAAAAUGGUUGAUUUGGGUCGAUUGAGAUACAUUGAUUAAAUUGGGAUACAAACAACUUUGUUGAAGAGGUACCAACAUGGUUCGGUUUGUUAGAUAAGCUUCAAUCCCUGCUUUUGUCCAAGAACCAGUUUAGUGGAUAUAUACCAACAGAAAUUGGGAAUCUGUACAAGCUGCACCUGAGAAUGUUCUCUAUAACAAUUUGGAAGACUUGAGAAGUAUGUAGUCAUGCCUACAUGCAAAAAAGUGGAACCAUGGUUCAAAGUCGCGGUCGCGGUCAUGGUCGCGGCCCGGAACGUUCCACGUCGGUCUCGGCAUAUCGGUCACGGUCUCGGUGAGACGCAAAUUUUAAAGUAUUUAAUAUUCUAAAAAUUGUUAAUAAUAUAAAAAAAAAGUAUGCUAAACAAAAAUAAUAAAAAAUAACAAAAGAAAUGGCCAAGUCAAUCCGUCACGGUGUAACUCGGCCGAUUUCUCGUCUUGACUCAGGAUAAUUCAGAGUGACUCGGUAUGACUCGGCUGAGUCAAUCCGUCGCGGUGACGUCUCGGCCGAUUUCUCGGCGAAUCAAGUAUCUCAGUAUCGUCUCGUCACGGUAUCGUAUCGGUAGAGGUCGAGACGGUGACGACUCGGCCGAGUCAUCUCGGUCUCGGCCGAGACUUCGAACCAUUAGUGGAACUGAACCAAUAUAAAUAUUAUCAAUUAGGUUAAUUACAUCUGAAAGCCAAGCAGAAGAAAAUAGCUAUAGGUUUCUGAUUCCAGCCCAUGUGCUAAUUUUUUCUGGAGAAGUUUACUCAAUUGUCUAGAUGUCAUGAAAAUUCUUAAUGUCAGAAAGUGAUAUAAUCUACAGUUUUGCAGGAGGAAUACCAAGAGAGAUUUGUAAUUUAACUGUGCUCAAUAGCCUGGUUUUACCAUUUAUGCAAUAACCACUUGACAGAUAGAUUAAUAACAAUAGUAUUCCUUUUUGUUGAUUAACCUUCAAAGAGGCUGAAUUAUCACGUUGAUUACCCCCAUGAACAUUCAUUUGCAUCAGUCUGUCUUGACUUUUUCAGUUGUCCAGUGACUGGUAGAUAGCAGCGCAGUUGUUUGGAUGGUAGCACUCUUGCAUUUUUUUAAAAAACUUUCUCACUUUUUUUUUUUUAAGUAAGAGAUAUUGAAUUCAGAAUCUUUUACAUAUAA